rnacentral:lncRNA from 1 species
ACGUGUACGGACGGCCCAGAUUGAAUCGCGCACGGACAGCCCAGAUUCUAUCGCGAUGAACGGUCUAGAUUCAUUUCAUACUUAAUUAUGAUCGGACAGCCCAAAUUACAUGGCGAUGGAUGGCUCAGAUUAAAAGCGGAAGGUUAUAAAUAAUCUCAUCCACACUCAAACCCUAACCCUAGCCGUCAGAGCCCUCGUCGGAGAAGACAGCCCAGCCACCGGAGGACCG